AGGGAAAUGCUUUUGUGCUCGAGGAUGGGACUGUACGGUAUCAGAUAGUUGGUGGGGUAAUGGCCUACCAAGUCAAUGACGCCUAACUGGUUUGAGAGGAUGAUCAGUCACACUGGAACUGAGACACGGUCCAGACUCCUACGGGAGGCAGCAGUGGGGAAUAUUGCACAAUGGAGGAAACUCUGAUGCAGCAACGCCGCGUGGAGGAUGACACAUUUCGGUGCGUAAACUCCUUUUAUAUAGGAAGAUAAUGACGGUACUAUAUGAAUAAGCGCCGGCUAACUCCGUGCCAGCAGCCGCGGUAAUACGGAGGGCGCAAGCGUUACUCGGAAUCACUGGGCGUAAAGAGCGUGUAGGCGGAUAGAUAAGUCAGAAGUGAAAUCCUAUGGCUCAACCAUAGAACUGCUUUUGAAACUGUUUAUCUAGAGUGUGGGAGAGGUAGAUGGAAUUUCUGGUGUAGGGGUAAAAUCCGUAGAGAUCAGAAGGAAUACCGAUUGCGAAGGCGAUCUACUGGAACAUAACUGACGCUGAGACGCGAAAGCGUGGGGAGCAAACAGGAUUAGAUACCCUGGUAGUCCACGCCCUAAACGAUGUACACUAGUUGUUGUGAGGCUUGACCUUGCAGUAAUGCAGUUAACACAUUAAGUGUACCGCCUGGGGAGUACGGUCGCAAGAUUAAAACUCAAAGGAAUAGACGGGGACCCGCACAAGCGGUGGAGCAUGUGGUUUAAUUCGACGAUACACGAAGAACCUUACCUGGUCUUGACAUAGGAAGAACUUACUAGAGAUAGUUUGGUGCUAGCUUGCUAGAACUUCCAUACAGGUGCUGCACGGCUGUCGUCAGCUCGUGUCGUGAGAUGUUGGGU
rnacentral:rRNA from 1 species